GCCCAAGUUACCCACAUUUCUGCCCAGCUGACUACAAAUUCUGGUUUCCAUGACCCCCUCUCAGGUGACCAGUCCGCAUCCUGAUACUAUCUCGGAGUCCCCCAGCCAAGAAUCAUCUCAUCAGCAUAAACUCAGGCAAUGUUGAAAGGCAUUCAGAAUGGUACUGGCCAUGUAACAUCCUCAGGAAAAUGGAGAAAGGAGUCACAUCAUCUUCUGUGUUUGGAGACUGCUAUGUAAGCCAGAAUACUAGUCACACAGUGCAGGUGGGAGCGGCCGGGAAGUAACCUCCUUUUUUUUUAAGACUAAUACAUUUAUG
rnacentral:lncRNA from 10 species